AGCUUAGAGAUUCAUGGAAGGAAUGUCAACAACAUCCCAAAUGAUGAUGCAGCUGAAGGGACAUGGUUUCUGCUUCUCUCCAACACCUGUCACCACACAAAGUUAAGGCACCAAAAGGAUGGACUGGAAUGGACUGUCAAAAUUAAACUUCAGGACUGCAGUGCAGGAACAGUGAGAAUGCUACCCAGGUAAUCUGCAGGGCAUCAUGGGAGUCGUGAAGGUCACGUGUGGUGGUCACUGGGGAGUGCCCAGCGCCCAGGUGCUGCUGAGGAGGGCCAGCGAGUUUCCUGGGGAUCGCUGGGAUGUCUCCCUGUGAAGCACCGGGCAUCCCGUGAUCCUGCCUUUCCUUCCUCUGAGCCACAUCCCCUACCGGCGACUGACUACUGCCUCAGAGGCUGACAGUGGUCAGCACCCACACCUAACAGGACUAGCCAUGGCUGCAAAGUGUGCCUGCUCCCUGGGGGUCCCUUCACUCUAGUGCCCAGAUGUGGGGUUGGCUCUCUGUUUGCUUCUGUAAAGUCACUUCCACUCUCAUGGGGAUUCACUCAUGGGAAUUCAGGCCAAGGCAUCAGACAAUGGGAGGGUGGAGAACAGUGCUGAAGGUCAGUGAGCUCUCUUCUGAGAUGUUCUCCAGCUGACCUCUAAACUGCGGUCUCAGUGUAACCUUGGGUUGCUCUCAUUUUUAAGAAGAUUAAUUUAUUUUUGUUUGAAUGUUAGAGUUAUACAGAGAAAGGGAGAGACGCAGAGACACACAGAGAGCUUCCAUCUGCUGGUUCACUCCCCAGAUGGCUGCAACAGCUGAGGCUGGGCCAGGCUGAAGCCAGGAAAUUUCUUUCAGGUCUCCUACAUGGGUGGCAGCUGCCCAAACACUUGGUCCAUCUUCUGUGGCCUUUUCCUAGGACAUCACCAGGGAGCUGAAUCAGAAGUGGAAUAGCCAGGAUGUAAACCAGCACCCAUAUGGGAUGCCAACAUUGCAGGAGGCAGCUUUACCCAUUAUACCACAAUGCAGGGCCCAUGGGUUGCUCUCAUUUUCUACUACCUCAAGGUUCAUUCAGGAGGUGGCAUCACAGAAACUGUGGUUCACUCACUCAAGGUUGAUAUCAUGUUUCUUUUGGAAUAGAAACUGACGUUUUGGCCUUUUUCCAGCACAUUGCCAUUCAUAUUUCUCUCAUUGAUACCAGUAAUUGAUUAAAAUAUUUGAAAUCUG